rnacentral:rRNA from 1 species
CGCGUAGGCGGAUCGUUAAGUCAGAGGUGAAAUCCCAGGGCUCAACCCUGGAACUGCCCUUGAUACUGGCGAUCUUGAGUAUGAGAGAGGUAUGUGGAACUCCGAGUGUAGAGGUGAAAUUCGUAGAUAUUCGGAAGAACACCAGUGGCGAAGGCAACAUACUGGCUCAUUACUGACGCUGAGGCGCGAAAGCGUGGGAGCAAACA